ACGUUCCCGUCAGACAGCUCGCAUGCGCUCUGGUCCGCCAUGUAGAAGCGCUCCGCGGGAAACCGGCGGAGGUUCAGGCGAUGAGCACGGCGAGCUUUUCCCUGAACGGGUCAGCGACCGCUGGGGACCUGAGGCGGCGGCGAGGGUGACAUCCUGUUUCGAUAAGGGCGCGCGCUCCGGCGGCCCGAGCGAUGUCAAUCAGCUGCGUGGCAAAUCCUUGAGUCGGCAUGUGGCUUUGGGGGAAGCC
rnacentral:sRNA from 1 species